UGGGGGAUAUUGCACAAUGGGCGAAAGCCUGAUGCAGCGACGCCGCGUGGGGGAUGAAGGCCUUCGGGUUGUAAACUUCUUCUGCUCUGAACAAGGCGCACCAUGGGGUGUGUUGAGUGUAGGGGUUGAUUAGCGCCGGCUAACUACGUGCCAGCAGCCGCGGUAAUACGUAGGGCGCGAGCGUUGUCCGGAAUUAUUGGGCGUAAAGGGCUUGUAGGUGGCUGGUUGCGUCUGUCGUGAAAGCUCAUGGCUUAACUGUGGGUUUGCGGUGGGUACGGGCUGGCUUGAGUGCAGUAGGGGAGGCUGGAAUUCCUGGUGUAGCGGUGGAAUGCGCAGAUAUCAGGAGGAAUACCGGUGGCGAAGGCGGGUCUCUGGGCUGUUACUGACACUGAGGAGCGAAAGCAUGGGGAGCGAACAGG
rnacentral:rRNA from 1 species